rnacentral:rRNA from 1 species
GACAAACGCUGGCGGGGUGCGUGAGACAUGCAAGUCGAACGAGGAGCCUCCGAGCUUGCUUGGAGGCUUCCUAGUGGCGGACGGCUGAGUAACGCGUAGGUGACCUGCCCGGAAGUGGGGAAUAACUGCCCGAAAGGGUGGCUAAUACCGCAUGUGGUCGGCGAUUCGGUUCGUCGUCUAAAGGAGCAAUCCGCUUCCGGAGGGGCCUGCGUCCGAUUAGCUAGUUGGUGGGGUAACGGCUCACCAAGGCGACGAUCGGUAGCUGGUCUGAGAGGAUGAUCAGCCAGACUGGGACUGAGAACGGCCCAGACUCCUACAGGAGGCAGCAGUCGGGAAUUUUGCCCAAUGGACGAAAGUCUGAGGCAGCAACUCCGCGUGAGGGAUGAAGGCCUCUGGGCUGUAAACCUCUUUUCUCAAGGAAGAAGAACUGACGGUACUUGAGGAAUAAGCCACGGCUAAUUCCGUGCCAGCAGCCGCGGUAAGAC